AUCAUUUUUUAUCUCGAACCCUUCUCCCAACUCCUCAUCUCACGCGGCCUUCUCCAUCUAACUCCUCUCCGGCAAACCCCUCUCUCGCGAACCCCUCUCCGCAAACCACUCCUCCGAACUCCUCUCCGUCAAGACCACACCUUCGUCAAGCGGCAGAUCCCGGUGCUGAGGCGAUCGACCACGACAGAUCGACCCAUCUCUUCGCCUCCUUCACCCCCGACGUUGAGGUGGUGACUGGUAUAAGGAGGACAAGAUGAGCGUGAGUCCAGUGCCGGCCUCGGACACCCAUGGCAACCUGGACGAGUAGAUCGCGCAGCUCAUGCAGUGCAAGCCGCUCGCCGAACAGGAGGUUAGGGUGCUUUGCGAAAAAGCUAAGGAGGUUUUAAUGGAAGAAAGCAAUGUUCAGGCCAACUGUUCAAUCUGUUCAAAGCU